rnacentral:tRNA from 1 species
AUAUUAAAAUAAAAUUAAUUAUGUUAAAUAAAUAUCUAAAUUUUAAGUAUAUCAUUUACAAUGAUAAGAUGUUUUUUUAACUUUAUUUAAAUU